rnacentral:lncRNA from 1 species
AUCACACCAAAAGGGGGCACGGGAACUCGGGCACAUCCUCUGCUCCCGGUAAAUCACACCAAAAGGGGCACGGGAACUGGGGCACAUCUUCUGCUCCCGGUAAAUCACACCAAAAGGGGCACGGGAACUCGGGCACAUCCCCUGCUCCGGGUAAAUCACACCAAAAGGGGCACGGGAACUCGGGCACAUCCCCUGCUCCGGGUAAAUCACACCAAAAGGGGCACGGGAACUCGGGCACAUCCCCUGCUCCGGGUAAAUCACACCAAAAGGGGCACGGGAACUCGGGCACAUCCCCUGCUCCGGGUAAAUCACACCAAAAGGGGCACGGGAACUCGGGCACAUCCCCUGCUCCGGGUAAAUCACACCAAAAGGGGCACGGGAACUCGGGCACAUCCCCUGCUCCGGGUAAAUCACACCAAAAGGGGCACGGGAACUCGGGCACAUCCCCUGCUCCGGGUAAAUCACACCAAAAGGGGCACGGGAACUCGGGCACAUCCCCUGCUCCAAGAAAAUCACACCAGGAGGGACACGGGAACUCGGGCACAUCCCCUGCUCCUGGUAAAUCACACCAAAAGGGGCACGGGAACUCGGGCACAUCCCCUGCUCCGGGUAAAUCACACCAGGAGGGGCACGACAUCCCCUGCUCCAGGUAAAUCACACCGCAUCCCCGGACACUCGGACGGGAACUGGGGCACAUCUUCUGCUCCCGGUAAAUCACACCAAAAGGGGCACGGGAACUGGGGCACAUCUUCUGCUCCCGGUAAAUCACACCAAAAGGGGCACGGGAACUGGGGCACAUCUUCUGCUCCCGGUAAAUCACACCAAAAGGGGCACGGGAACUCGGGCACAUCCCCUGCUCCGGGUAAAUCACACCAAAAGGGGCACGGGAACUCGGACACAUCCCUUGCUCCCGGUAAAUCACACCACAUCCUCGGACACCCGGACACAUCCCCUGCUCCAGGUAAAUCACACAGGAGGGCACGGGAACCCGGACACAUCCCCUGCUCCCGGCUGCGGCUCUGGAAUUUUGGAGAGCAGCGUCCUGCCCACAUCGUGGUGGGCACUGCAGGGGAUGGAUCCUUGCCCAGAGCCCCCUGCCCAGCCGCUGAGUCCCCUCGGGGACAUCUCACCCCCUUAUCCCCAGCUCCGGGGCGAGCCUUGCAAGGAGCUCCCGAACAGAAACCAAAGCAAACCGAAAGCCAGCGAACCUGA